rnacentral:rRNA from 1 species
UACGUAGGGGGCUAGCGUUGUCCGGAAUCAUUGGGCGUAAAGCGCGCGUAGGCGGCCAGAUAAGUCCGGUGUGAAAGUCAAAGGCUCAACCUUUGAAUGCCGCUGGAAACUGUCUGGCUUGAGUCCGGAAGGGGCGAGUGGAAUUCCUGGUGUAGCGGUGAAAUGCGCAGAUAUCAGGAGGAACACCGGUGGCGAAGGCGGGUCUCUGGGCCGUAACUGACGCUGGAGGAGCGAAAGCGUGGGGAGCGAACAGG